UCCUACGGGAGGCAGCAGUGAGGAAUAUUGGUCAAUGGAGGCAACUCUGAACCAGCCAUGCCGCGUGCAGGAUGACGGUCCUAUGGAUUGUAAACUGCUUUUGUACGGGAAGAAAACAAACUACGAGUAGUUAAUUGACGGUACCGUAAGAAUAAGGAUCGGCUAACUCCGUGCCAGCAGCCGCGGUAAUA
rnacentral:rRNA from 1 species